GCGAAUGUAGCUCAUUUGGUAGAGCGCCACCUUGCCAAGGUGGAGGUAGCGAGUUCGAUCCUCGUCGUUCGCUCCA
rnacentral:tRNA from 4 species